rnacentral:lncRNA from 1 species
AAGUAUAGUUAAUUUACAAUGUUUUUUUUUUAAUUGAAUAUUUUUCAUCUCAGCCCUUGAGACGGGAGAUGUAAUUGGCCCCUGCUGGGAGGUCUGCAGGCCUUGUCAGUGCCUUCAAAAGUGAUUGACUGUAAUCACCUUCUUUUCCUCCCUUGACUUGGGGAAAGGACACAACUUGACCAAGAGGCCACUGGAGCAACACCUGGACUGUGAAACCAGGUUGCACAGAAGUCCACCUCUCCUUCCUUCUCCAAGGCUGAGUGCGCAACCAGCGCCAUCCUCCCCGGUUGCCACCUUCUGAGGAGGCUUCCCGCUCCCACUGCCCAGCAAUCCUGUGAGGCAACGCAGGGGCUGAAGAAAGCCCGGUGAACACCCUGGAAGGUAGCCAGGGAUGGGGCAGGUCAGGAAGGCUCCUGGUUGGGCCUUUGCAUCAGGCCCAGGUUGAGCAUAAAGGAGGGUCCUGCGUGCUGGG